AUGUGGUUUCCAACCCACAGAAUUUCAGAGAUCCUCCAUGAAGUCUCAAAAAUUAUUCUCAUGGCUGUACCAAGUGGAUGUUCCAUGAACUCUAAGCUCA
rnacentral:lncRNA from 1 species